UACGUAGGGUGCGAGCGUUGUCCGGAAUUAUUGGGCGUAAAGAGCUCGUAGGCGGUGUGUCGCGUCGGCCGUGAAAACCUGGGGCUCAACUCUGGGCGUGCGGUCGAUACGGGCAUCACUGGAGUUCGGCAGGGGAGACUGGAAUUCCUGGUGUAGCGGUGAAAUGCGCAGAUAAUCAGGAGGAACACCGGUGGCGAAGGCGGCACUCUGGGCCGGAACUGACGCUGAGGAGCGAAAGCGUGGGGAGCGAACAGG
rnacentral:rRNA from 1 species